rnacentral:snoRNA from 1 species
AUGCCGUGAUGAGGGAACUUUCAUAAUAACUCUUUGAAUCAUUCCCAUGCCUCAUAUAAAGAUUCUUCGUCAAGUUGCUGAAAUGAAGUGAUUUCAAUUCGGAUCUU